rnacentral:rRNA from 1 species
GAUGAACGCUGGCGGCGUGCUUAACACAUGCAAGUCGAACGGAAAGGCCCUGCUUUUGUGGUGUGCCCGAGUGGCGAACGGGUGAGUAACACGUGAGUAACCUGCCCUUGACUUUGGGAUAACUUCAGGAAACCGGGGCUAAUACCGGAAAGGAGCUCCAGCGGCAUGGUGGGGGUUGGAAAGUUUCGGCGGUUGGGGAUGGACUCGCGGCUUAUCAGCUUGUUGGUGGGGUAGUGGCUUACCAAGGCUUUGACGGGUAGCCGGCCUGAGAGGGUGACCGGCCACAUUGGGACUGAGAUACGGCCCAGACUCCUACGGGAGGCAGCAGUGGGGAAUAUUGCACAAUGGGCGGAAGCCUGAUGCAGCAACGCCGCGUGCGGGAUGACGGCCUUCGGGUUGUAAACCGCUUUCGCCUGUGCCGAAGCGUGAGUGACGGUAAUGGGUAAAGAAGCACCGGCUAACUACGUG